rnacentral:rRNA from 1 species
GAUGAACGCUGGCGGCGUGCCUAACACAUGCAAGUCGUACGAGCUCGAUCUUCGGAACGGGUUAGUGGCGCACGGUGAGUAACACGUAGGUGACCUACCCCAGAGUGGGGGAUAACUUCUCGAAAGAGAGGCUAAUACCGCAUACACUCGGUCAUUCAUUUGGCCGAGCAAAGCUCCGGCGCUUUGGGACGGGCCUGCGUCCGAUUAGCUAGUUGGUAGGGUAAUGGCUUACCAAGGCUUUGAUCGGUAGCUGGUCUGAGAGGACGAUCAGCCACACUGGCACUGACACACGGGCCAGACUCCUACGGGAGGCAGCAGUGAGGAAUAUUGGGCAAUGGGCGAAAGCCUGACCCAGCAACGCCGCGUGAGGGAUGAAGGCCUUCGGUUGUAAACCUCUUUCUGGAGAAGAGACAA